UGGAUGCUCUCGCCCUAAAGAAAAGGCUAUAUUUGCCUCAGGAAAAAAAAGGCUAUAUGGAUGCUCUGAAAGCUGUAGCUUCCCCCAGCAACCCCAAGCCGUUGCAGUAGUGGCGUGGUGGGGUUCAUCGGCGAACAUCCCCCAACGGCGCUCAUGCCAUGUUCAACCCCGUCUCCGGCGAUUGGCUCCUCGCCCACCUCAGCCGCGUGGUCCUCGACGACGACGCCCUCGCGCUCCUGCUCCUCCGCCUCGACAAGACUCUCUCCAGCCUCUCACUCCACCUCCUCGCACACUCCUGCAGCAAAUGAAAAAUUCUCAUGCGUCAACAACAUGCCAGAAAGAUCGAGGCUGUCCAUAUGUGUGAGGGCAUGCAGUUGCCACUUUGAGGUGGCAGUUUUCUGCUAUAAAUUGCAGCUGAAGCAUGGAAUGUCUUACCAGUGGAUGGUAACGUUGUGAGGUGAAUGAUUGACGACCUUGACAAGAACGUCAUCGCCUUCUCUUGCAUAGAGGGUCGGCCCCGGGAACUUGCCGUUAACAGUGAGGAUGGACUUGGUUGAGCAAAGCAGUGUCAUGUUCCUCAUAACCACCUGCACGAGUGAAACCAUGGUAAAUCAUCACGGCAGCCUGAGUUCUGUAGCCGCCUCACGGUGUAAGGUGUCGGGUGAUGGCAUGGACGCUGAGAGCCUGAAGCAGGAAGCAGCUGGCCAUGAGGCGGAGGAGCAGCUGAUCAAGACGGCGAGGCAUGGCCAUGCUGCCUGACACUGGCAGAGCCACUUGAUCGGAGGAGACAAGGACGAACGACGAUUCCUGUGAGCCGAGACGGUGCAGUAUUCCUGGUUGCAUGGAAUGACAGGGCGACGCAUGGUUUUAAUGGCCCAGGGAGGGGGCUGGGGCGGUGUUGGGUUUCUAGCUGCCAUGUCGUUUUUCAUUUUAGGUGAGAAACCCUUGCUUGGCAAGGCUGGCUAGCUGUGCUGGGAAUUGUGCGGAUUGCAGGUAAUUUCUUCUUGUGUUUUCACCUGCAGAUAUGCAAAGGUAGCUCCCAGUUGCACCGAGCUAACUCUUUUUACAUACAAAUUAGGUAAUAAUGUAGCCAUCUGCAGGACUUGCAGUGCAUCUACCUUUAUCGAUUUGGAGUUUGGUUC